ACACGGAGCCCUGGUAUUUGGAGAACAAGGUCCUUAGUGCUCAUCCUGGCUCCAGCAAACUGCACCAGGAAUGCGUGCAUGGCUGUCUACCAUGCACUUGGGAACCAGGCAUCCAAAACUGAUGGAAACUAACCAUAACUUACCAGGCAAGCUUCCCCUUAGAAGCUGCAAGUUGUCAAGUAGACUCCCGAGUUCCAAAAUAGUUACUUUGGAUAGUUUCUGCCAUUUUGUGCCAUUUUUGUCUAGGUGGGGAUAUGGAUCUCUGGUGCUUCCUGCUCUGCCAUCUUCUCUGAUAUCAUUCCCCUCCCAUGAAUUUCUUAAGGAUAUGGCAGAAGAGAUGCUGGAUGCUGUGACUUCGGAGGCUGGGCUAUAAAGAGUAACAUGGCUUCUACCUGGCUCUUUAGCCUUUGGAAAGCUUGUGUUCAGAAUCCAGUUACCAUCCAGUUAUCAGUUAACUAGUCUUCAGGACCAAUGAGAGGCUCACAUGGAGAGACACAAGCCCCAUCUAAGAGCCAGCAUGAGCCAGAUACAGGCGAGAACGAAGACUCGUCUGACUCCAGGUCUUCCAGCCAAGCCCAGACGUGGGAGCCGGGACAGGUGGUGCCUGCCAUGCCUUGCCUGGACUCAACGCCCAGAAUCUAUGAGCACGAUCGAAUGGGUGUUGUGCACCACCACGUGCUGAAGCAACUACAACAGCCUGGAAACAGGCCAAGAAUGUGAGGGGUGUCGGCUCUAUGCACCGAGGAAUGGGGGAAACACCAGCUUUCUGUGAGCAAGAAGGUGCAGGGAACGGUCAAAGAAGGGGUGGGUGAUGGUAGAUUUACGUGGAGUUUCAGGAGUCAGUGAAGGGAGACUGCCGAGCCGUGGCCAUGGUGGCAGCAGGGAGAUGUUUCUGGGGCAGGCUCACCCUUCCCCACAUCCACAUGCUGAAAUGUCUUACAAAUAAUCAGAGAAAUGUGAAAGUAUAUUAGUUAUGAGUAAUAAAUAUAUUUUGCUUUAUUUUCAAUUUGAUAUA
rnacentral:lncRNA from 10 species